rnacentral:ncRNA from 2 species
ACACUUGGCUCGGGGUCCUGCGCAUGCGCGUGGGUGAGAGAUACCCGUUGAACCUGAUUGAGGUAAUCCUCGCGCAGGAAAGCAUGUAAUCCAUCGC